rnacentral:lncRNA from 1 species
GCAAUUUAGAAAUUUUUUUGGGACAUUUUUGGACUAUUAUUCCAAGGCUCUUGUUUUUGGUUUACAGAAAUGUUUGCGGGCACGGGUUCGUUUGGAUGUCUAACUCCCAUUGAAGCGAAAUAAGCAUUUUGUUCUUUCUCAUCAACAAUAUGUUUAUGCCCGUUUCUAGUACGAACGAUUGACACUUUUUUGUUUCCUUUAUGGAAAACUGGGUCAUGGUGAGAGUUUUUACCCAAUUCGGUUGACCUUUGGGGCGAAAGAGGUUCUAAUGAGAUGGGAUGUGUCCUUGAGGGAAACGCCACAUUGACUCAGGCCCAGACCAGUGUUUGGCUUCGUCAUGUGCAUGUUGUGGGAGUUCAGCUAUCUAGGGGCCUGUAACACCCUUAACCCGUAUCAGUCGUCGGAAUAGGGUUACGAAGCAUUACCAGAGUUUACAUUUCAAAACUAUCAAAAAUAUAAAUCAUUUACUUCACAACAUCAAUCAUAGCAAAUUCCAUCAAUAACAUACAUAUUGUCCCUUAUACAAGCCCUCAAAGCCCUAAAAACACAUUAGAAAAAAAUCGGGACUAAAUCGAAAACAUUUAGAAUUUUUUGGGAAAAUAUGAAAAUUUUUAAACUGCAGGGGUCACACGGUUGUGUGGCUAGGCCGUGUAACUGCUUGACUUGCAACCCUUAGUAAGCUACAAGGGACACACGGCUGAGACACACUCCCGUGUCUCUAGCCGCGUGGACGAAAAAUAGGUCAUUUCCAAGCCAUUUUUCUUCCCCAAUCAUGCACACACCUAUAACCAAUUUUUCCACAUGUAAUCAAGCAUUCAAAAUGCAUCAACAAGCUAAAUCAAUAAGGUAUAUAUAUUCACACAACCAAUAUUUUCAAUGGGCACCUCAAAUUACAACAAUCAUACAUGUAUAACUAAAUGUUUAAUUUAGCCAAAACUUAUCAUUUUGUACACAUAUCAAAUCCACACUCAUAUGUACCAAAUUUAUCAUUUAACAAUUAGCACCAUUAGCCAUAUAUGUCAACUACAUUCCAUAUACCGAUGAUAGGUUAGAAAUUUCAACUCUUGUCAAUGAGGGUGAACAGAUUUUGCUUAUCGGUUACACCGAAGUCGCCAUCAACCACUGUUAUAGGGAACAAAUUAUUGUUGCUAACCUGCUGACAGGUGGUGGGUUGACCCUCCCAAUUAGCUAUUUGGCCCUUGUGUGGUUAUCCGAAGCAUCAUUCUUGUAUCUUUUUGACUUGCUUUGUCCUUAGCCUCUCCGCCGUCUUGCUCGUCUUGGUCUACCUUUGGGCAUUUGAAUGUUUUGGCUUCUAUCAAUUUUCUAUUUUUGCUGCGGUUUAGGGUUUCUCCUUUUCUUUGCCUUCCAAAUGUUUUUGAUGGGUCUGUUAGGUUUUUUGUUUUUCUUUGGUUUGUGCUGGGUUUUUUGGCAGCGUGUUCUAUUGCUUGGAUUGUUUGUUUCUAAUUUUACCCUUUAAUAAAUGGAAGCCAAUUAAAAAAAAAAGGUUUCUCUAAUAAAAUUUUAU